UACAGGGGGGGCAAGCGUUGUUCGGAAUUACUGGGCGUAAAGGGCGCGUAGGCGGGAUGGCAAGUCGGUCGUGAAAUACCUCGGCUCAACUGAGGAGCGUCGAUCGAAACUGCCGUUCUUGAGGGUUGCAGAGGAGACUGGAAUUCCCGGUGUAGCGGUGAAAUGUGUAGAGAUCGGGAGGAACACCGGUGGCGAAGGCGGGUCUCUGGGCAAUUCCUGACGCUGAGGCGCGAAAGCGUGGGGAGCAAACGGG
rnacentral:rRNA from 1 species